rnacentral:lncRNA from 10 species
UUUUCCAGGGUUUCAGUAAACAAGCAUGCAGAAAGAAUCAGGAAUAAGGAGUGAAAGAGUUUUGAGUUGUCUGAGUUGUCUCCAGCUCCAGCUACCCUUGAGGCCUAGCUGCAUCCCUGCCAUUUCAGCUGUUACAUAAGCCAAGAACUUCUGGUUUGCACCUAAGCUAGAUCAAGUUCCAGGCAUCUCAGCAGAGAGAGACUCCAUUUGUUUGGGGGAAAGAAAAGAAGAGUCUCCACCUGGUAAUCCAAGAAAUUCUCUUGGAUAUUACCCAAGACCACCAGGGUGGUACCUCUAUGAGUCUGCAAGACCCACAGUGUUACUAAGCUUGGGGUGCCCCCUAAAGCAGAUAUAGCUGCAGUGACCAAAGACUUAGAUCCCUUUGACUACCUGGGAAGCCUUCCCAAGAAGGACAGAUACAGACAAGCCCAGACUGCAAAGACUACAACAAAUACCUAAUCUCAGUGUCCAGACUCUGAUGAACACCCACAAGCAUUAAGACCAUCCAGGAAAACAUGACCUCACAUGUUGCGGGAAGUCAGGGACCCCGAACAGAGGGACUGGCUGGAGCCUCGGCGGAGGAACAUAAAUUGUGAAGAUUUCAUAGACAUUUAUCAGUUCCCAAAUAAUAACUUUUGUAAUUUCUU